AUGGGCGACCCCGACACUGAUGCUGACAAUGCCGUGUUGUCCAAGGAGCAGGAGGACCGGGUCGGGCGCGAGUCGCGCGGGGACGUCACCAUCCUGCCCACGCUCGUCAUACAUGACGUCCAGUACAGAUGGAAGCUGGAGAGGACGGCGGUGCUCAAGGCCGUGCGCGUCAGCUUCAAGGAGGGGACCGAGCCGCAAGUCUGCCUGAGCCAUGACAUGGAGACGAACGAGUGCCUGCACCAGAACGGCGGGUGCUGGCGGGACAAGGCGACGAACAUGACGGUGUGCAGGGACACGUAG
rnacentral:rRNA from 1 species